GGGCGAUUAGCUCAGUCGGUUAGAGCGCGUAUCUGAUAAGUACGAGGUCCCAGGUUCGAUCCCUGGAUCGCCCACCA
rnacentral:tRNA from 1 species